CCUACGGGAGGCAGCAGUGGGGGAUAUUGCACAAUGGGGGGAACCCUGAUGCAGCGACGCCGCGUGGGUGAAGGAGUGCUUCGGCAUGUAAAGCCCUAUCGGCAGGGAAGAAGCUAGACGGUACCGGACCACGAAGCCCCGGCUAACUCCGUGCCAGCAGCCGCGGUAAUACGUAGGGGGCGAGCGUUAUCCGGUUUCACUGGGCGUAAAGGGAGCGUAGACGGCCAUGCAAGCCAGGGGUGAAAGCCCGGGGCCCAACCCCGGGACUGCACUGGAAACGGAGUGGCUGGAGUGAGGGAGGGGCAGGCGGAAUUCCUGGUGUAGCGGUGAAAUGCGUAGAUAUCAGGAGGAACACCGGUGGCGAAGGCGGCCUGCUGGACCGCGACUGACGUUGAGGCUCGAAAGCGUGGGGAGCGAACAGGAUUAGAUACCCGUGUAGUC
rnacentral:rRNA from 1 species